CUUGGAGCAGAGCCAUGUAUGUGGCCAUGUCUGCCAAAAACAAACUCAGGUUUGUGGAUGGCACAGUUAAGCAGCUAGACGAAACAAGCUCUCAAUAACCCCAAUGGAAAAGAUGCAAUCACAUGAUUUUAUCAUGGAUCAAAACAGCCUAUCAACAACCUAUCACCUGAAAUAGCUGGGUAUGUGAUGUACUCAAAUGCUACAGCAAAAGUUUGGGUAGAACUGAAGAAGCGACUCGCUAAGUCAACCAACAAUUGCAUAUUCUUGCUGAAGCAACAACUAGCAGCAACCAAGCAAGAAAGAAAACCAGCAAGUGUUCACUUCUCCAAGUUGAAAUUGAUAUGGGA
rnacentral:lncRNA from 1 species